CCUGUCUUGCAGUGUUUUGUUGCAUGUAGAUGCUCUGGCUGUCGUUGUGUUUUUUUUGGGAUAUCUGCCUGUACCUUUGUCUGCAAGUAUUUUGGAUUUGUGUUUCCCCCAUGCCCUUGUGAAUUCUCCAUUGGACUCAGCCACUGCCUCCUCUUACCCAGAUUACUUUUUGCCCCUGAUGAUAUGCGUGCCCUCGGUUCUUGUGCUGUUGGCUGUUUCUCUGCUGAUCAUCUACAAAUGGAAGACCAAGAGGAACACUGGUUUGAACAACAGAGGAAAUGCACACCGUGUACAGAUGGAGAUCAGAUAAGAAAAGGCCAUUGAGUCAAUGUCAUCAGUUUCACAGUGAGUGACUCACAUGCAAUAACAAGCAUGCACAGCCAUCGGCUACCAAAGAAGAGAACGGAGAAGCUCGACGAGAACACAGACCACAGGGGUGUGAUACAAUUCUCUGCUCAGGAUGUCAUUGCUUUACUAUAUGUAUACACAACAAAUAGAGGUUUGCUGGUCUAUUAAUGUUCAGAAUCUCAUACUGAACCAUUAAGGUGUCUUCAGGCAGAGUAAAUGUAUCUUGUUUGUUUAUCUGUUGGUUGUAUAUGUUUUUUGCUGUUUUACCUUCUUUUUUUUUUUUAACACAAAUCUUUGUUUUCAGUUCUUUGUAUAAAUUAUUGAUUGUACUCCUUUUUAUUCUGGUCUUAUUGUGGUCCAAUUUCCAUGGAAUUUCAUUUCCUUAAACUGUUUCUUGCUCCAAAAGUGCAAUAUAAAUUUUAGAUGUUUUUUCAGGUCUCUGGACAUUUCAGUUGUCACUGACACAUUAAAAACAAACAAUUACCUAGGA